rnacentral:misc_RNA from 1 species
GCCCACCCUCGGGCCCUCCCCGCGCGGGGGACGGGCCCGGCGUUGGGGGGCCGCCCUUCCGCUUCGCGGCGGGGCGCCCCCUGAAAUCCAGCGGCGGCCGCGACGCGCCCCCCCUGCGUAGUACGACCUCGCACGGGGGCGCAGCGCGAGGCCACGCCGGCGGGAAACAAAGCAUACAAAGG